rnacentral:rRNA from 1 species
CAACCUGAGAGUUUGAUCCUGGCUCAGAGCGAACGCUGGCGGCAGGCCUAACACAUGCAAGUCGAGCGGUAGAGAGAAGCUUGCUUCUCUUGAGAGCGGCGGACGGGUGAGUAAUGCCUAGGAAUCUGCCUAGUGGUGGGGGAUAACGUUCGGAAACGGACGCUAAUACCGCAUACGUCCUACGGGAGAAAGCGGGGGACCUUCGGGCCUCGCGCCAUUAGAUGAGCCUAGGUCGGAUUAGCUAGUUGGUGAGGUAAAGGCUCACCAAGGCGACGAUCCGUAACUGGUCUGAGAGGAUGAUCAGUCACACUGGAACUGAGACAC